CAGUCGCCGCGGGAAUACGAAGGGGGCUAGCGUUGUUCGGAAUUACUGGGCGUAAAGCGCACGUAGGCGGAUUGUUAAGUUAGGGGUGAAAUCCCAGGGCUCAACCCUGGAACUGCCUUUAAUACUGGCAAUCUCGAGUCCGAGAGAGGUGAGUGGAAUUCCGAGUGUAGAGGUGAAAUUCGUAGAUAUUCGGAGGAACACCAGUGGCGAAGGCGGCUCACUGGCUCGGUACUGACGCUGAGGUGCGAAAGCGUGGGGAGCAAACAGGAUUAGAUACCCGCGUAGUCCCUGUCUCUUAUAU
rnacentral:rRNA from 1 species